rnacentral:rRNA from 1 species
UACGGAGGGUGCGAGCGUUAAUCGGAAUUACUGGGCGUAAAGGGUGCGCAGGUGGUUUAUAUAGUCAUGCGUAGAAGCCCCGGGCUCAACCUGGGAAUGUCGUGUGAUACUGAUAGACUGGAGUACGGGAGAGGGCAGUGGAAUUUCCGGUGUAGCGGUGAAAUGCGUAGAUAUCGGAAGGAACACCGGUGGCGAAGGCGGCUGCCUGGCCUGAUACUGACACUGAGGCACGAAAGCGUGGGGAGCAAACAGG